UUGGCUGCAAGGCCUUUCCCCCUAACAGAGACUGGUUCAAGGGAGAUUCGGACACAUCUCCACCUCCAAAGCCAAGUGCCUUCCCGGGAUGAUCUGCAUAACAAUUUGCGGGUGCUGGUGGUGGAGAAGCUCCGGGAAGAGAAAACUAGCCGGACGGUAUCGAACCGCCCGCAGGCCCGUCGCAGCUCCAUUAAUGCAACUACCAUUACACUAAGUAUCUCCUAUAGGGCUCUUCAAACUGUGGUCAACUUAGUAAAUGAUGUUGACAGUGGAAGUGUGAUCAUUUUAUUUUCCUGCCUUUGGAAUUGAAGAUUGUAAUUUUGCAAAAAUUUUGUUGAAGAUGAUGUAGCUUUGGUUCAGAGAGCUGGAGUACAAUGGCACCAUCUCAGCUCGCCGCAACCUCCACCUCCUGGGUUCAAGCGAUUCUCCUGCCUCAGCCUCCCGAGUAGCUGGGAUUACAGGUUCCAAGUCUCUUCUUCGGCCUCUCAAACAUGGUACCAUCCCUAAUGAAGUCAACGGGUCCAGCAUGACAGGAUGGAAGUACAAGUGUCAGCACCUAUGUGAGUCCCAAGAGGGGAAAUUAGAAACAAAAAGGAAGAAGAGGACAUAGGCCAGGCACGGCGGCUCACGCCUGUAAUCCCAACACUUUGGGAGGCCAAGGUGGGCAGAUCACCUGAGGUCAGGAGUUCAAGACCAGCCUGGUCAACAUGGCAAAAGCCCAUCUCUACUAAAAAAUACAAAAAAUUAGCCAGGCGUGGUGGUGGGAGCCUGUAAUCCCACCUACUCGGGAGGCUGAGGCAGGAGAAUUGCUUCAAUCUGGGAGGCAGAGGUUGCAGUGAGCUGAGAUCGUGCCAUUGCACUCCAGCCUGGGCGACAGAGUAAGACUCUGUCUCAGAAAAAAAAAAAAAAAAAGGAAAAAAAAAGAUGAUAUAGUCAAAGAAAUAACAUUAAAUUUCUUAUAAUUUAAGAUGAAUGAUUUCAGAUUGAAAAGUUUAUAAAGGUGCCAAAGAGAAAAGGAAAGAUCCACACUAGAUACAUUAGAAUGAAAUGUCAAAGUAACAUACAUAAAGAAGAAAUUCUGAAAUCUUCUAGAAAGAAAGAACAUGUUAUCUAUGAAGGAACAAGGAUCAUAUUGAUAUUAGAUUUCUCAACAGCACAUGUGCUGCAAGAAGACAAAGGAGUAAUAUUAAGUAUUGUGAAACAAACCUAGAGCUUAGAAUUUCAUAUUUAAAAUUCUAAAUAAAUUAUCAUUCAAAUUGUUAUAGUUUGGGGGCCAGGUGUGGUGGCUCAUGCCUAUAAUCCCAGCACUUUGGGAGACUAAGGCGGGCAGAUCACUUGAGCUCAGGAGUUUGAGACGAGCCUGGCAAACACGGCAAAACCCCAUCUCAAAAUACAAAAAUUAGCUAGAUGUGGUGGUGCAUGCCCAUAAUCCUAGCUACUUGGGAGGCUGAGGCACGAGAAUUGCUUGAACUUGGGAGGCGGAGGUUGCAGUGAGCCAAGAUCGUGCCAUUGCACUCCAGCCUGGGCGACAGAGUGAGACUCGGUCUCAUAUAUAUAUGAGACUGACAAAUUGAUACAGUUUGGAUAUAUGUCCCUGCCCCAGUCUCAUGUUGAACUGUAAUCUGCAAUGUUGGAGGUGGGGCCUGGUGGGAGGUGGUUGGAUCAUGGGGGCAGAUUUCCAUGAAUGGUUUAACACCAUCUUCCUGGUUUGUCCUCAUGACAGUGAGUGAGUUCUUGAGAGAACUCAUCAUUUAAAAAUGUGUGGCACUUCCUCUCUUUCUCUCUUGCUCCUGCUCUGGGUAUGUGACGUGCCUGCUCCCCCUUUGCCUACUGCCAUAAUUCAGAGUUUCCUGAGGCCUCCCAAGAAGAUAAGCCGAUGCCAGCACCAUGCUUCCUGUAAGCUGGCAGAACCAUGAGUAAAUUAAACCUCUUUUUUAAAUAAGUUACCCAAUCUCAGGUAUUUUUUAUAGCAAUGUGAGAAUGUGCUAGCACACAAAUAUGUUACCACUUAAAUUAUCAUUCAAAUAUAAAAGCAUAGUAAAGCUGACAUUAAGCCUCAAGCAUACAAGUUCACAGAAAAUUUGUCACACAAGGACCCACAUUAUAAGAGAAGCAGAAAUUCAUACUGCUUUAAGAGAUAUCAGAGGCUGGGUGUGGU
ensembl:lncRNA Novel transcript, antisense to AFF1